UCUUUAUGGCAUUCGCGACUUUAUCAACGUUGCAGUUGGCGGAUCGUUAUUGAAAAACUAUCCGGUACAACUGUGUUCGAUGUUUACUCUUGGGCUCGAACUCGCGGACAUCGGCAAAAAAAAACUCAUUUCAUUAGAUUGUGUACUCCCCGGUGGCCAGUUCGAGAAUGAGUUUUAUCAUAAGUGCCAGUGGUAUGCUCAACGGCGGUGGUGAAAUCAGAGGGUUGGUGGUUGAUCCCGAACUCACUUGCUGUGAAUUGGUUAUGCUCGAAAGAUACAUCCAGGACUUAAAUUCCCGCAGUCAUGGAGGCCGUCAUUGUUCGGCCCUUUUUCUGAUCCGCAAACCAUAGAAGACAACAAUUUAAACAGCAGUUUAUUCCGAAUCUAUCUACCAUCUGGAAUAUGAUUACCGAAGACCGGAAGAUACGCAUCCAUCGUGAACGGCUUAUUGAGUUUAUUAUUGAUACGGUAAAGCGCCGGCAUUUUUCUGUUCAAAAUACAGUUUGCCACCGGAAUGUCUACUGGCUCAGUUGGGGACAGCAGUACUACUUAUUCUUAGUCCCUUCUUGUGAGUGUUUUGAUUUUAAUUUUUUUAUUUGUGUUAUUUUUGUGGAUGUUCAUGAUUUUUUUCUUUCAACUUUUAAUACAAUUGAGAAUGUAUUUUUGGUCCAUUGAGUAAUAAUUUUGCAUGAAUGAAAACCCUUUAUCUUGUUAAUUCAUCCACUUAUUUUACCGUUCCCUUUGCACGUCCUAUUGACUAUAAAUAAUCAUGAAAAAAGAACGUCGUCAACGAAAAGAAAAAAUAAACUAUUGAGAAUCUGAAUAAUGUAGAAUUAAUUUUUA